AUUGAACGCUGGCGGCAUGCCUUACACACGCAAGUCGAACGGCAGCACGGGGCAACCUGGUGGCGAGUGGCGAACGGGUGAGUAAUGCAUCGGAGCGUACCUUUCAGUGGGGGAUAACGUAGCGAAAGUUACGCUAAUACUGCAUAUUCUGUGAGCAGGAAAGCAGGGGAUCGCAAGACCUUGCGCUGAUUGAGCGGCCGAUGUCAGAUUAGCUAGUUGGUGAGGUAAAGGCUCACCAAGGCGACGAUCUGUAGCGGGUCUGAGAGGAUGAUCCGCAACACUGGAACUGAGACACGGUCCAGACUCCUACGGGAGGCAGCAGUGGGGAAUUUUGGACAAUGGGGGCAACCCUGAUCCAGCCAUGCCGCGUGAGUGAAGAAGGCCUUCGGGUUGUAAAGCUCUUUCGGCCGGGAAGAAAUCGCACGGGCUAAUACCCCGUGUGGAUGACGGUACCGGAAUAAGAAGCACCGGCUAACUACGUGCCAGCCGCCGCCGUAACAC
rnacentral:rRNA from 1 species